GAAGGGGGAUGCAAGCGUUAUUCGGAAUCACUGGGCGUAAAGCGUCUGUAGGAGGUGAUGCAAGUCACUGGUGCAAAACUCUGGCUCAACCGGAGGAAAGCCAGUGAAACUGCAUGACUAGAGUGUGGGAGAGGUAGAAGGAAUUCCCUGAGUAGCGGUGAAAUGCGUAGAUACAGGGAAGAACACCGGAGGCGAAAGCGUUCUACUGGAACACAACUGACGCUGAGAGGCGAAAGCUAGGGGAGCGAAUGGG
rnacentral:rRNA from 1 species